rnacentral:rRNA from 1 species
UACGGAGGGGGCUAGCGUUGUCCGGAGUUACUGGGCGUAAAGGGCACGCAGGCGGUCAUGUAAGUCUGUUCUGACAGCUCCUGGCUCAACCGGGAGAGGCGAACGGAAACUGUAUGACUUGAGGACUUCAGAGGGACACGGAAUUCCGGGUGGAGUGGUGAAAUGCGUAGAGAUCCGGAGGAACACCAAAGGCGAAGGCAGUGUCCUGGGAAGUACCUGACGCUCAGGUGCGAAAGCCAGGGGAGCGAACGGG